UACGUAGGGCGCAAGCGUUGUCCGGAAUUAUUGGGCGUAAAGAGCUCGUAGGCGGUUUGUCGCGUCUGCUGUGAAAACCUAAGGCUCAACCUUGGGCUUGCGGUCGAUACGGGCAGGCUGGAGUUCGGUAGGGGAGACUGGAAUUCCGGGUGUAGUGGUGAAAUGCGUAGAGAUCCGGAGGAACACCAGUGGCGAAGGCAGCCUCCUGGGCCAGCACUGACGCUCAUGCACGAAAGCGUGGGGAGCAAACAGG
rnacentral:rRNA from 1 species